rnacentral:lncRNA from 1 species
AUGGUGCCCGAGCGCGGCGGUCACGUCUGUCGGCGCACGGGCUGUCGCUGUGGGGACGGUGCCCUGCUCUCCGCCGUGACCCCACGGGGUGGAUGGGGAUUGGUGUGGAUGCUCGGGGGCUGGCACCGGGGAUGCUGCCUCCACGGGGAGCCCGGCUCAGGUGCAAAGGUCCCGCAGCGCCCGGCCGCGCUGCAGCUGCACUCGCACUGGGGCCACGGCCACGGCAAACAAACGGGCCCCGGCCGAGGCUGUUUUCCUUGGCGCGGGGGGACCAGGGGGAGGACUGGGAUCCCACGGGCUCCUCGGACUGAGAAAACAGAGGCCCCUGCCCUCUGUUUUCUCACCACGGGGUCCCGGCCACCCCCGCAUCCGCGGCACCGCAGGGCUGCUGACGCAGGGCUGGGGACAGCUGUGACCCCAGCGGAUGGCAGUGCGUGUUUUCAGGUGCCGGGCGCUUGGUGGUGCCUCAUGAAGGUGUGCGUUGGGGAGUGGGGUCUGAGAGGUGUCAUCCUUCCUAGGUGUGAUGGAAAAGCUCAAAUUGUGGAUUCAGGCACUGUCUGUGUGUUUAAUGCCCAUCCCUUCCAGGUGGCACCGGCUCUGCCACGUGCUUGGCACCUUUGUCCCAUGCCCCACGCUGUGCCUCAGUUUCCCCGUGGCCUUCCAGAGGGGGAUGCACCAACUGUGCCACCCUCUUCUUCCUGUGCCACCACUGUCCCCAUUGCAUCCCCAACCCCGGCAUGUCUGUUGCUGGAAGAGGAUUGUGCUCAUCCCAACAAUGAGGCGAGCGCUGCUGAUUUGGAGCAAGUAUGCCAUGCAGCGUGGCGCAGGGACUUGGCCAGCUCAGAGGGGACUGUGGCUUCCAGCAUGACGGGCCUGCCAUGGCCAUGGUGUUGGGACAUUCAGAGGACAUCCAGUCCAGGGGACCCGGUCCCACGUGGCCAUGGGACCACAGUGAUGACAGUGGGGUCACGGCCAGGCCUGGGGCUGCAGGAGCUGUGCCCAAGGCUGGCGGGCCGCUGGUCACUGGCACAGUGUGCUGUCCCCCUGCCCUUCGUCUAA